rnacentral:rRNA from 1 species
UGAACGCUGGCGGUAGGCUUAACACAUGCAAGUCGAACGGCAGCACAGGAGAGCUUGCUCUCUGGGUGGCGAGUGGCGGACGGGUGAGGAAUGCAUCGGAAUCUACUCUUUCGUGGGGGAUAACGUAGGGAAACUUACGCUAAUACCGCAUACGACCUACGGGUGAAAGCCGGGGACCUUCGGGCCUGGCGCGAAAGAAUGAGCCGAUGCCCGAUUAGCUAGUUGGCGGGGUAAGAGCCCACCAAGGCGACGAUCGGUAGCUGGUCUGAGAGGAUGAUCAGCCACACUGGAACUGAGACACGGUCCAGACUCCUACGGGAGGCAGCAGUGGGGAAUAUUGGACAAUGGGCGCAAGCCUGAUCCAGCCAUACCGCGUGGGUGAAGAAGGCCUUCGGGUUGUAAAGCCCUUUUGUUGGGAAAGAAAAGCAGUCGGUUAAUACCCGAUUGUUCUGACGGUACCCAAGAAUAAGCACCGUAAUUCA